AUGGUGGGGGCAAUAAUUAAUGCAAUUAAUGAGGUCAAGUCUUUUCUAUCAAAAAGUUUUGACAUGAAAGAUCUGGGAGAAGCCGAUGUAAUUCUAAACAUCAAACUUAUUAAGGAUGAGAGUGGGAUUACAUUAACGCAAUCUCACUAUGUUGAGAAGGUCUUGAACCGAUUCGGUUUUAUGGAUAGCAAGCCUUCUCCAACACCUUAUGAUCCCAGCGUGACACUCAGAAAGAACAAGAAAGAAACGAGAGAUCAAUUAAGAUACUCUCAAAUUGUCGGUUCACUCAUGUACUUAGCUAGCGCUACAAGACCAGAUAUCUCUUUUGCUGUGAGCAAACUGAGUAGGUUCAUGUCCAACCCGGGUGAUGAUCAUUGGCAUGCACUAGAAAGAGUCUUGCGCUAUCUGAGAGGUACUAUGAGUUACGGAAUUACUUAUUCAGGGCAUCCUGCUGUGCUAGAAGGAUAUAGUGAUUCAAAUUGGAUCUCCGAUGUUGAUGUACUUUACGCAACAAGUGGGUAUGUAUUUACUCAUGGUGGUGGCGCAGUGUCAUGGAGGUCUUGUAAGCAAACCAUAUUGACGAGGUCAACUAUGGAAGCAGAAUUAACUGCUUUGGACAUAGCUACUGUUGAGGCAGAAUGGCUGCGUGAGCUUUUGAUGGACUUGCCGGUUGUUGAAAAACAUAGCAGUCUUGAAAGAACACACCUAUAUGAGUUCUGA
rnacentral:rRNA from 1 species